AUUGAACGCUGGCGGCAGGCCUAACACAUGCAAGUCGAACGGUAACAGGAAGAAGCUUGCUUCUUUGCUGACGAGUGGCGGACGGGUGAGUAAUGUCUGGGAAACUGCCUGAUGGAGGGGGAUAACUACUGGAAACGGUAGCUAAUACCGCAUAACGUCGCAAGACCAAAGAGGGGGACCUUCGGGCCUCUUGCCCUCGGAUGUGCCCAGAUGGGAUUAGCUAGUAGGUGGGGUAACGGCUCACCUAGGCGACGAUCCCUAGCUGGUCUGAGAGGAUGACCAGCCACACUGGAACUGAGACACGGUCCAGACUCCUACGGGAGGCAGCAGUGGGGAAUAUUGCACAAUGGGCGCAAGCCUGAUGCAGCCAUGCCGCGUGUAUGAAGAAGGCCUUCGGGUUGUAAAGUACUUUCAGCGGGGAGGAAGGGAGUAAAGUUAAUACCUCUGCUCAUUGACGUUACCCGCAGAAGAAGCACCGGCUAACUCCGUG
rnacentral:rRNA from 1 species